UGUUCCUGGGCAGAGGUGAGUCACACCUUCUCCUCUCACCAGACUCUGAGCUAAUUCUCCACAGGUGAGGAGCAGGGGGAGCGGCAGCUGCAGGAGAUUUCCCAAUCAGGGACGCGGGUUCAAAAGGAGGAUGGAGACACAUCACUUUGCCGGAUGAUUGCACCAGUUUAGGAUCAUCUCAUCAUCUACUCACCCUCGCUGUCUUCAUUUUCUGGAACAUACUCAUCACGUCCCAUCCUCCUCCGCCGUUCCUGUUUGGCUUUCCCUCUGCUACCUCACCCCUCCUGGAUCUCUCAUCCUCUGCCCAGCGUCCUCCCCGGCUUCCCCUCCUCUACUGAUUAACCUGAGCACCUCAGAGACUCGAGCCGUAUUGCUCAUCCCACAGGACUUCCCUGUGCGGUUUCAGUUCCCGUUUUUAUAAUAAAGACAUUUUACUUUA